rnacentral:rRNA from 1 species
UACGGAGGGGACUAGCGUUGUUCGGAAUUACUGGGCGUAAAGCGCACGUAGGCGGAUUUGUUAGUCAGGGGUGAAAUCCCGAGGCUCAACCUCGGAACUGCCUUUGAUACUGCAAAUCUCGAGUCCGGAAGAGGUGAGUGGAAUUCCUAGUGUAGAGGUGAAAUUCGUAGAUAUUAGGAAGAACACCAGUGGCGAAGGCGGCUCACUGGUCCGGUACUGACGCUGAGGUGCGAAAGCCAGGGGAGCAAACGGG